UCAUAUUUGGGGACUUGCCACCUGUCUGUUGCCGGCGGCAUGCAAUCUAGCUUGAGGCGUUCUGGGGCGAUGGUGGAUAAUUGGUUACAUUUGAAUGUGCCAUCGCUGAUUGCACCUCUGCGGGUCUUUGCCACAGCAGCUGGAUUUCCUACUGACCUUUGGGUUGGAUGCGGUCUCGGUGUCAAAACCUCCCAGCAUCAAGAGAAGUGACAGUGAUAAUUCGCCACCGUCUCAGACUGCCGCAGUUUCGCCCCCACCGCUGCCGAGGAGGAUGUACUCAAGGUCAGAUUUUCUUUGUCAUAAAGUAUCGAUGUCUGGUACCCGUAGCCGCCGUGAGUACCCGAUAUGUAAAAAAUACCGCUGGUAUCGGUACUUUACCCAAUACUCCAAUUUCUUGUUUUAAUUGUGAUUGUACGCACAUGCGGCAAACGUCCAUAACUGAAAAACCGAUCACGGUGAUCUUCUCUCUCUCUUUUUUUUUUUAACAUUGCUGAAAAUCCCAAUCGAAAUCAGUGACGACUAUUAAAUGCUGGCCCAUGUUGCAGCCUUUUAAAGAGGACCGAGAAUAUCAAAGUGCAAACCAGGCUCCCUGCCGCUGCGUGCAGUUACAACAUUCAUACUCAUGUUUCUUCUCCAGGAAGCUUAUAAAUCAACUCCGUAGUUAAAUGUUACAUUAACGGUGCCGUCAUGUGUACUUA